GCCCUGAGGAGGUUCUGAAGUAUAACAGCCUCAAUUACAGCUCAGCGAAAGCACGUAUAUGGGAUAUAAAGGGCUGUGAGAAGGACAGAAGCUCUUGCAACAUCACUGAGGAAGGAUUUUUGAUCUUUAAUGGCACCAGAAACAAUGGAAUCAGGUGGCUUUGCCAGCCUAAUUCUCCCUGUGCUGAUGUGCUAUCCAAGAACCCUGCAGUAUCUCCACGUUUCUUCUUCAUCAUUGAGGCCUCAAACAGGU
rnacentral:lncRNA from 1 species